GGGCCUCCUUUGCAAUCUCAUGUCAUUAUGGGCAAUGAGGCUCAGCUGUUCUGGGUGUUCUGCCUCUUUCUGGUUAUGUGCAGGGAAGAAGAGCUGUGGGAGCACAGAAAGUGCUGUGGCUUGGGGGAAGGCAGUAGAUAUGGAAAGAGAAGAAAGUCAUUUUUCUCCAGAGCUACAGAGGCUUGCUAUUGAGUUCCCGCAAGGCUGAGUGAAGGCUCUGUUGCUACCUAGUACUGCACUGCAAGCAAGACAAGGGAUGAAGAAAAUUUACCUGCAGUUAUCAGUUCUGUCACUGCAGACCCUACCUUGUGGACUGUAGAGAAACUAACAAAUGAAAGCUGCAAGAAGCCUCUCCUACUGUUCAUGCAUCAACACAAAUAUCUGAGGUCUUCAUCCAGCUUGCCAAGUUUUUUUGUGCCUGUUUUAAACGAGUGUGAAAGAGACUCCUAACAUCACUGACUGGUGCUGUGGUCAUGUAUUGCUCUCAAAGUUUUCAAGCAGAAAUGGUAUGGACUUGACAUAUUCAGCUCAGCGGCAGUACUAGAGCCCUACGGGAAAUAUUUCAGUGAAACUUGAGGUGAUGGGUGGAAAAGGCGACAGGGCUGGGGAGGGAAGACAUUUUUUUUGUUAUUUUAAAUAUACAUACUCAUCCUAAUUCAUAAUGGAAUUUGGGUGGGAAGCACAGUUGGGAGGACAGGAGGAGAGGUUUAUUUUUAUUAUGAAAGUAUGUACUAAUUGUGACUCAAAGCAAAGAGGAAGGGUGGGAUGAUACAUGGUAGAGGAGACACCUUCAGCGGAGGUAAGUAGAAAAAGAGAGAAAGAAUACUACAUUUUUCAUGUAAUCAAUUGAAAAUAUACCUAUUUCUCCUCUACUGCCUGAACACCAUCUGUCCAGGCAGCCUCAGAGCGUUCAGGUUCGGCUGUGCUCCUGUCAAUAGCUUUUGUGGUGUGGUUCUAGAACCAAUUAUUUAGACUCGAAUGAACAAUUGAUUUGAGGUGGAAUGAAAUGCAUCAGUUGACCCAGAACUGACACUUUCACUAAGCCAUCUAAAAAACAUAGUCUUGUCCUUUCACGCAUUGAUUUGUAAUGUUUAUGUUUGUCUAAGUCCAAGUACUGGAAAUGCUGGGAGGUAUGAUUUGUACAUGCAAGAUAUUGAAAAAGUUCCCUUCUUUCCCAGCAGUGAAAAAUCCAGCAACGUCCAGAUCACUCACCCACUGGAUAAGGAGGGGACCUUGAGAAGAACUUCACAUUCUCUGAGCUCCACAGUGAAAAAAUCUGCGAUGGGACCGUGGAUGAAGAAAUACAGAGGUCUGUCUGAAUACCCAAAGCACAAGGGAAAAUGACGGUUACGUACGGAAACAAGCAUCACUAUAUGCAAGACUUUGUGCAUUAUUUUGCAAGUACACUUUAAGUUGUUUGGACAAAGAUUAAGAAAGAUUUCUUAUCACUGAUCAUGUGGAUCUCAUUUUCUACUUGCUACGAAUGUUAGAGCUUGAAGAAAGCUUUGAGGUAAUGGGCUGUGGAAUACAGAAGAGUGAACCAGUCACCUUCCUUGUUCUUCAGUUCAGACAAUCCUUCGUUUGGACGACUGGAGGAUGAAGAUCCCUGGACAUAAUGAAAGAGUUGAGGUUCAAUUCAAGUUCAUAGCAAGCAAGUCAACUGACGUUUUCAUUUGUGAGCUCUAAUAUAAUGUGCAUCAUUUGCUGAGAGGAAACUUGAAAAACUUGUGGCAUGAUUCUAUGAGAUGUCAAGCACCUUCAGAUGCAGCAGAAGCCAGUGCCCUGUAUGGCGUGUCUGAGUCAUGAAUAGUGUGCCAGUAACAGUAAGUAACAGUCUUAUUUUGAAAAGCCAUACACCUGUUUCUGUUGAUAUGAGGACAGUUUCUGUACUCCUACAGGCUGAACCUACCACCAGCAGCCACUAAAUGAACAAUGUGUUUGUCUCUCUGCAUCAUUUGUUUGUCUGAAUAUAUAGGAAAGCUUAAGUCUGUAAUGUUGGCAAACAUAAACUUAAUUCCUAUGUGUAACAUGAAAUAAUCCCAUACUUCUAAUUCAUUGAAAUGGAAAAAUAAUUUUCCAUUUCCUUUUCUAAAUUUCCUCAUUUUUAAGUGGAGGUAGGAGGAAUGAAAGAGUACUUAAAAUGAUGACAAGUAUUUUGCCUUUUAUAGGUCAUUGCAGCCUUGAGGUUCAAACCAUAAACACCGAGACUUAUCAAUAAACUCCAAAAUGCCUAGCCAGGGUAAUUGAGCUUCAGGUAACUCAGUGUAGUGUUCACAUUGUCUUCUGCAGGUAUACAGAUAUAUCCAAACAGUCAAGUGGAUAUGUUUAACUACUUUUUUGCUAUUCUACAGAAACAGAUGGUCCUGCUCUUCCAAGUAGCCUCUUUACCUUAUUAGCCUAAAGCAAAUCCUUUUUACUGACUCCAACAAGCCACCUGGAACUGCCAGGAACGGCUCUUUCCUUCCCUUCCCUUUUCCUGAUUUAGCUUUAGCUCAGGAAAGGAGGUGUUGCUCUGUUCGGGGUUUUUUUGUUGUUGUUUUUUGUUUUUGUAAUUUUGUUGUUGUUGUUUUUUGUAGUGCAGUGCACAGAAGUGGAGCUUGCUUCUAAGGACCAGAAAUGUUGUGGUAAAGUUUCAAUAUAGCCAACUUCUCUAUGAGCAUACCCACAUAAUUUAAAUUAAAUAUACUUUCUCUUCCUUUCCUCUCCAGUAUGAAAAAUGGGAAGGGAAAGGGCAGGGAAAAAGUUCUAGAUGAGUGUCUCAUUGUUUUCUAUGUCCAUCUCUUACAGUCUGUUUCCUUUCAGUAUUGCUAGUUCUCGACUCGUUCCUGUUGUCACAAAGGAAGAUACAAACAAGUUAACGUCACACACUGCAUACCUCACGUCAGAUCUUCAGGACUCACUUUCUCUGUGGAACUUCAUCCUGAAGUUCAGCAGAACAACGAACAACAACAACAACAAAAAAUGCUGCAUGUGGGGUGAGAGAUUUAGAUUGCCUCUCCUUACAGUGACAUAAAUUACAAGUGAUGUCACGCAAAGAUGUGGACAACGGCAAAGCUGCUGUAGGCUCUUGCUUACCCUACCUUGAAACACCGAGCAAAUUCCCACCAGAGUCACAUUAAAUUGGCAGUUCCUCUUGGGCAGCCCUAAGGAGAAUAUUUUUUGACUUGUUAACUACUGGAACUCGAUCCUCAUGUAAUACAGAAAAAGUGUAACAGUGAUACCAACGACCUUAGUAAAGUGCAAGCUGUGAAUAGCCCUGAAGAAGUUGAGCAGCCUGAAAAGAGAAAACUGUUGGUAUGCCAGCUGCUUACUUCCAAUGCAGACAGGAGGAAGAAGUACAUGGAGCAUCCUGCCUUGUGUCUGAGAAACUUCAGUACUGCCUGGGUGUCACUAGCAUUACUUAGCACAUUUUUUGUCCUCCCCGUGCCUCUCCCCCCCAGGGGUCAUUUUCUGAUUACUCAGUGUGAGCAGCACCAAGGAAGUCUGCAGGACUGCUCUUCAAUCUUUAUCAAUCUACACUUCUCAGACUACAACUUCAUCAUAAUUUACAGCUAUUCUUAUGAGCUAACAGCUACAGAAACACUGGAGCAAGGCAUACAGUUUACAUUAACACUCAGGGAGGAAGAAGGCUGACUUACUUGAAGGAGAGGAGAAAACAGCAUCAGCUGAAGGAUCUGGGGACUGUCCGCCACCUCUUCUGCCAGAUGGGUGAAAGCUGUGUCCUUCCUGCAGUGGCUCCACACGGCUGGGUUCUCGCCCUUAAAGCACUAAUUAUGAGGGAGAAAUGUAGCUGUAUACAAUCAAUUCCCUAUUAAACAUCCUCUCCUGUUAUUUAAUGUUGAACUGAUGCAGAGCUUAAUGACUCAUUGCUUUCUGACAAAUAAUAAAUCUACCACACAGAGGCAUUUCAGAGGCACUGGGACUCCUCCUGAAUUUGAAUGGAAUCUAACAAAUAGAUCCAGAUGAAACAAUGCAGAGAAAGAAAAAUGAAAUGUCAAAACACUUCAUUUUAGUAUUUUCAAAAUGGAGCAUUUAAUUCUAGAACUGCCAAAACACUUCAAUUUCAAAACAAAGACUUUUAGCUGUCCAUUUUAAAUUUGGCCUAGAUUUAAAAAGAAAAAAGCUUUAAAAUGUGUGAAAUGGCCCAAGACCAAAAAUAAAGCUGUUCUUUGAAGCUGAACAAAAAAGAUACUUUUCCUGAUGAUAAUUAUUUUUUGUUUUGCCAACAUUUUUUUUUUUUAAUCUAGAUUUGACCAAAACCAAAAUACAAUUCUCAAAAAAAUAAAUAAUUGUUAGAACAAUUGACCAAGGUUCCAUGCAUUAUGAAGCUCCAGCUCUAGGUAACCCAGUGUCAGUACACCUCUUGGAGUUUAAACAGACUAAUCAGACCCAUUGCUUUCCAAAUGCUGUUAGAGCUUAUUAAUUUAUUUUAAAUUGGAAUAGCUCAAGGGAAUUCUUGUUGUAAUGGCAAGAUAACAGAGGUUCCAUCUGAUAACUCCCACUCAGAAGUACUUACCUAGUUUUGCAAAUGGUAGGGUUAGGUGCUUCAGGACAUCUCUGCUUUCUGUGGUGUUGCAUUGGAAUGAGAAUCCUCCUUCACCUGAUCCUGGAGUCCUGGCUCGCCCGAGCAUCCAUGCUGCCCCAGCCUGCCUGUGCAUGAGCCCUAAGUCUUGCACGUGGAGAAGAGGGAGAAAUCAGCUCACAUCCAGAUUCUCCUUCAGCCAUUUGGCCACAUAAACUCCUGUCCCUACUUGAACGCAGUCCUAUAAAGCAACAAAGAUGUGGCACUUGUGAGUCUGGUAACAAAGAGCAUGGAAAUGAAGCACCAAACUGCCAUCCUCCCAAGAGGUGCAGCAGCAGCACUCCACAUUGGUACUUUCAGCCAGAAAUAUUUGGCUUGCAGGUGUUUGGCUUUCUGAUGAAUAGCCCUGAUUUUCUACAGAAAGCAGAUACUUUUUUCUGGAAAAAAUAUUCUCACAAAAUCCAAUUUUCCCUUUAAAGAACAGAUGGCAAUGGAAAAUUUUUAACCUAUAAGAUGAAGCAACAUGUGUGAUUUUUCUUCUCCCCAGAAGUUCUUUUCUGCAUAUCUAUUGACUUGCCUUACUACAGAAAAUUGCACUAAAUCUUGCUGGCUCUGAUCCUAAAACUUGCCCACUUUCCCAAGCUCUAUCAACAGAGUUAUUAAAGAAAGAUGUUUCCUCACUGUUUCUCAUUUUCUGAGCUCAUUACAGGAAGGACAACAUACCUCUGUACUACAUGUCACUGGAUAUGAUGGCCACGGUCCUGUGCCAGCCAGCUGAAAAAAAAGGCUGCUCAUAAGAACCCGCAGAAACAAAGGACACCGAACAGGUCACCAGGAAAGAGCAUAUCCCUUUGCUAAGGAUCGCUGAUGAACAGACAGGAUGGUGAAACAGGAGGAAAAGCCACAGGGACAGAUGGAAGCGUGGAGCCAAAAGAACCAGGAAGAGGAGGAGGAAAAGAAAGGCAAGGAGAGAGCUAGUGGGAAAUUAUGGGGACUGAGGGACAUGUUAAGUUUUUGGGACAAUAAAUAGACAAGGGGAAUUGUCCUGCAUCACUGAGGAUAUGGUGGUUUUUAAAAGCGAUGGCAUUAAGCCAGAAAGGGGAAUGGUUCUUGUAGAAAUGUGGUAAAGAGGAUGGGUAAGAUAAAUUAUCUCUGCAUCUGGAGAUACACAGAUAGUGACAUUCACCAUCACAGGUAAUGACAUCACCUCCAGGAGGGACAGCUGGUGUGAAAGAGGAAUCAGGCAAGAAGAAGCUGCCAUGCUGAAAUUACAAAGUGACGUAGCAUGGCAGUGACAUUAUAAAUUUACACAUUCAAGUCAUGUCUUGGCUGCAAGAUUUCCAAAGGCAACUUACUCUUAUUUCGAUUGCCAUGUUCCCGGUGUCAGUCAGGCUGUUUCUGCAGUGAAGGUAAGGAAAACACCUCAAACUGAGCGCUCCUCUGUUCUAUCCUCAGAGCAUAGAGGCUUGCCUGACAACAAAAAUAACAUCCAUAAAAAUGGUUCACACUCAUUCAAUCAAUAUUUCAAAAAAGAAUAAGUGACCUUCACCAUAGUACAUAAAGUGAUUUGGAACAGUUAAGAAGAAAUAAUGUUUGAUUCUAAAUUUUAAUCAGUUUUCUUUGUAUUACUCUUGUUUAACAAGGUAGACUCUGCCUCUUGCUCUGCAAGUCUUCAGUGACUGGAUAAAAAAAUAAAGGGGAGCAUUAAAUGCUGGUCAGGCAGAGGACUCCAAGCUUGUAGUUACUAGACAAAGAAAAUAAAUAAAAUCAGAAUAUGUAUCUCUUUGUUUAGAAACUGCAGAGCUGUAUAUUUGUAUCCUACAGUCUUGACCAAUGACUUUGGUCCCAGUGACUGUCAGGCAUGAAAUAAAGUUUGUCUCCCAAAUAACAUUAUGUUUUUUUAAAAGUGCGCAGACAUUUACACACAGAAUGCAAAAAAGAACUGUAUUUCAGUAGUAAAAGAAUUAGAGAAUGUAACAGAUCUUAUUCAAAGGAGUGGUUCCAUUUACGUCAGUGGAAUAAUUAGCUGCGAUAAGAGUUUAGAGGAUCGAGCCUGUGUAGCAGCCAUCUGUGCUCCUUACGUUUUAUCCUCAGAUAACAUUAUUCUCUAGCAACCAAAGGAAAAUGCCAUGCUGACAGGUCAGGAGUGUGACUGGAGACCGUCACAAGUAAAAUAUGAUGACUGGUGUGACAAGUAUUCUGACGUAUCAGGUGGAAUGAGGUAAUAUGGCUGAAAUAUUGGUGGAGCUGAAGAAACUAUAAACAUAGAAGAGAAGGCUGCUUCCACAAAAAAAGGACACUUCUGUACCUAUAUGUAUCUAUAUGUUAAUUUAUAAUAAUAGGAGAAAAUGGAUGCAAAAGUUUAAGUAAGCGGAGUAAAAUUAAACCAGGAGAACAGAGUUUGCAGAACAGGAGCUUAAUAAACAGUGUAACUAAUCCUCCCACAUACUAUUGUAACAUUAAAGCUGAAAGAUGUGGAUGAAGCAGUGACGGAAACACAGACAAAAGAAGAACAUUAAAAUGAAGAUUUGGUUCCAAGCUGCAGAAGCAGUUGCACAAACUGAAGAAUAAAGAUGAAAUUUGAGAGAAAAUGCAGAAGCCUGAGUCAACAUUUAUUUGAAUACCAUCUGCCUAAUGCUGAAGAUGAUCUCCACACGCAGAGAUGUUGCAGCAUUUCCGUGUGCUUAGUGAAUGUCUGCUGCUGUGACUGUGCAAGUGAAUUACCUUCACUGUAAGCCAGAAGUUUUCCUGUCCUGCAUUCCAUAUCUUGCAUUUUUCCCCUGGGCUCAAGAAAAGAUAAUGCUGAACUCUCUGGGAAAAUGAUCCUUGUUUUCAACAGAGCGAAGUGCAGGAAGCAACUCUGUGGUGCUCCCCAUUGAGAACGAGGGCUGUCCCAUGUCCCAGGCUCAGCCUUAGUGGUCACCCACCACAUCAGCACGUUGUUGGUGCGGCCCUGCACACAGCUCUCAGAAAUCCCCUCUCCACCUUCUCGGUGAAGCCCAAGCUGUACUGACCAACUAGAAUUAGUUACAGCAUGAGGUGACGGGUCAUUCUGGCCACCCAAUUACCUUCCUACACAUCUCCUACUACUGUCCUGUAUGAUGUAAUCCCGCUCGGGAUCCACAGGAGCUGUCAGGCUUUAUGAAACAUGACUGCUCAGUAAAGACAAGAUCUCAAAAGGAGCUUUUUCAAUGUGGUGAAUGUCUCUCAAAAAACGUCAGACCAAGGUCAGAUUUUAACUGUGAGUUUGCUGUUAACAUAUGCACAUAUAUGGUGAUAAAAAUUGUCUGCACAUUGAAAUAUGUAAUAAAACAUCGACUCCCUGAACGUUACUUCCUUUCAUCAUUUACUGAAGUUAUCAGCGCACAUACAAACACAAUACUUCGAGGUUCUCCCACUUCUGUGAAAAAUCUUUGCACAAAUUACUUUUCUUGUAGUGCUGUGUAGCAGGUGACCAAUCCCUUUUCUCAUCAGAAAUGCCAGCGGCAGCAAAUAAUAUAUUAUAAAAGGCAUCUAAAAAGUUAAAAGUUUAUAGUAAAUUCUUUUACUACCUCUGUAAUACUUUCUCUUGGGUAUUAAUUUGUUUAAGACUUUCUUCUCAUUUGCAUAGAAAUCACUGGAGAACACAAGACUAACACAAGAUAUUUAACACAAACAAUCACUUAUCCAAAAGUAAAUGCAUUAUCUAUUUUUGUUGGAAUAUACUGCACUACAUAACCUUGCAGCAGAAAUAAAGACUCAGCUUGGCUCACAGAUCACAGAAUAGCUCAACACCGUUGUUUUGUGCCUUAUUUGUCUUUGGUACCCACACGUGGUCCCUCAAUUUUAAGCCAUCUUCUUGCUUUUCAACCAUUAAAGAAAAAAAAAAACGAACAGGACUGGCCAUAGAGCAAGUGCUCUAUGGUCAUCAGUGUAAGUGGCAACUCCCUUCAACCCAAAAAAAUCCUGAAUAUUCUAAGUGCAGUCCUUUAUGGACUGAUGUGAAACAGGAAAGGGGAUAAAAGGGCUUAGAUAUAAGUAUACCAUGUAUUUAUAGAUACUCUUAGAGAUACCUAUCUCUAUAUCCUACUCACAAAAUAGGCAGAAUCCAGUGAAAAUGCUAAAAGAAUAAAAAGAUGUCCUGGUUCUGGGGACUCCCAUCACUUGGCAAACUCAUUACUGAGACACUGUGCCCACAUAAACUUCAAGCUUUGACAUGAGGCAGUGAUACCACCAUCUUCCCUUUAAGUAAAACCCAAGAGAUGCAUGUCAGGAACACAGAAUUUCCUUGCAGUCACAGAAGUCCCUUUUUGAAACAUGUAG